AUGUCGGCGCUUCGAUCCUUCCUUGGGAAGCUGCCGCGCCCCUCCUGCCGCCAGGCCGCCCUCGGUGGCACCGUUGCGUCCGCCGCGGCAGCCGGGAUCUGGCUGGGUGCAGAGGAGGAGGUCAUAAAGAAAGAGACGCAGCGGGCAGUUGAGGAGGCGGCGGCCAACAAAGCGCAGCACGCCGGGGAGGAGGCGGCCACGAAGGAGACAUAG
rnacentral:rRNA from 1 species